AAAUGUUGGGUUAAGUCCCGUAACGAGCGCAACCCUUGUCCUUAUUUGCCAGCGAGUAAUGUCGGGAACUCUAAGGAGACUGCCGGUGACAAACCGGAGGAAGGUGGGGACGACGUCAAGUCAUCAUGGCCCUUACGGGUAGGGCUACACACGUGCUACAAUGGCCGGUACAAAGGGCUGCGAGCUCGCGAGAGUCAGCGAAUCCCUUAAAGCCGGUCUCAGUCCGGAUCGGAGUCUGCAACUCGACUCCGUGAAGUCGGAAUCGCUAGUAAUCGUGAAUCAGAAUGUCACGGUGAAUACGUUCCCGGGCCUUGUACACA
rnacentral:rRNA from 1 species